rnacentral:lncRNA from 1 species
UUUUUCUUAAGAACUUUGCUGGCUCCAUUACUGUUGUUUAGCAAACUCGAGCGCGCUCUGAUCUCUGUUCCACGCAUGACAUUUCCCUCCCUCCUUUCUUCUCCUAAUCAUCCUCAUUUUCAUAAAACGCGGUGGUGUGGGCCUAUUUCCUGGGUGUGUCCUGGAAGUUUUUAUUGAAAUAUCUUUUGACAGUUUUCCCCUUUCCAUUUCCUCUGUUCUCUCAAGAAGUUCCAGAACAUUCAUUGUCUCCUUUCAGUUGCUGUAUUUCCAGGGAGAUUUUCUUAUGUUCUCUUCCAAAUCUUCAGAAUGAAAAAAAAAAAUCUAUUGUAUCCCCGAUUUCCUGAAGUUCUUUGUUUUAUUUAUUUAUUUAUCUUUUAUUAGAUAUUUUCUUUAUGUACAUUUCAAAUGCUAUCCCGAAAGUUCCCUAAACCCUCCCUCUGCCCUGCUCCCCUACCCACCCACUCCUGCUUCUUGGCCCUGGCAUUCCCCUGUACUGGGGCAUAUAAAGUUUGCAAUACCAAGGGGCCUCUCUUCCCAGUGAUGGCCGACUAGGCCCUCUUCUGCUACAUAUGCAGCUAGAGAUACGAGCUCUGGGGGCACUGAUUAGUUCAUAUUGUUGUUCCACCUAUAGGAUUGCAGACCCCUUCAGCUCCUUGGGUGCUUUCUUUAGCUUCUCCAUUGGGGGCCCUGUGUUCCAUCUUAUAGCUGACUGUGAGCAUCCACUUCUGUAUUUGCCAGGCACUGGCAUAGCCUCAUACGAGACAGCUAUAACAGGGUCCCUUCAGCAAAAUCUUGCUGGCAUAUGCAAUAGUGUCUGGGUUUGGUGGCUGACUAUGGGAUGGAUCCCCGGGUGGGGUAGUCUCUGGAUAGUCCAUCCUUUCGUCUUAGCUCCAAACUUUGUCUCUGUAACUCCUUUCAUGGGUAUUUUGUUCCCUAUUCUAAGGAGGAAUGAAGUAUCAUCCACCCAUUGGUCUUCCCUAGUUCUUUGUUUUCUUAUUUAAUUUUAAGAGUGUGACCCUGGUCUUAAUUUGUAGCUGCAGGAUUUUAUGCCUCCAAAGAUUUUAAUUAUAGUACAUCAGUGCUUUCUUUCUCCAUAUAGUUAUUUUAUUUGUUUUAAAUGGUGCGUGUGAGUGUGUGUGUGUGUGUGUCUGUGUGUCUGUGUGUGUCUGUGUGUGCGCGCGCGCGUGCGUGCUCACAUGUGCUCUAAGAUGUCAAUUCUUUACCCCCACCCCCGGCAUGAAGAGUAGGGAUGGAACUUGAGUCCUCAGGCCUUGAUGACAAGUGCCUUUACCCACUGAACCAUCCCAGCAGUCCUGAAUAUGCGUCAUCACGGGAUGCAAUGACUUUUUCAGGGGAUGGUGCUCUGUGGCUUUGCGGGAAUGAGCCCUCAGCCAGGUGACUGGCAUUUGGAGUUUCUGUGAGGGGUCGGUGUUUAGAACUGUCAUUUUCUAUAGUCUGGCUGGUGGUUUUUAGAAGAAUUCCAUCCAGCCUGAGGUCUCCAGGAAGCUGAGCUUGACAUGAAGGGUUCGACGCGGUGCAGAUGGCUUCUGCAUGUGGUCUCCGCGAGAAGAGACGGGCUACUGUGAGAAUCAGGGGAGAGGCCAGUCAUUCCAAAGACCUCAGCUGAGAGCACCUGGCACUCAACAUUUCUCAAAAGUGCAUCUCACGAGCUGGCCUUGGGGGCCAGCAUCCCUCCACUUCUGAGCUGUAUCGAGGGAGGUGCGCAGUUCCUGGCAGGUGUGUGAGCCACCCCUAGACAAGGAGAGGAGAGGGCUGCCAGCCAAAAUCAGAAUGUCAGAAACUUCGGGCUUGGUCCUUGUGUGGGGGUAGGAUCAGGAAGCUUUGGAGUGGGACCUCUUCUGCCUUUCUCCACUGGGACAGUCAGGCCAGGCAUUUCCUUAGAGAAGACUUCCCGGCUUCCUAGCAGAGGUUCAGCUCUCUGCCUAAAGGUCAUUGCAAGGGCAGUGUUUUCAAGAAACUUCUGCCACUGACCCCGCACCUUUAUCAAAAAUCAGUUAGACAUCUGUGAGCCUAUCAGUGGGAUCUCUCUCUAAUUCCUUGAAUGCUGCCUUUCUCUUUGCCACUAUUGAUUAAAAUCACUCUAUGUAGGGCUGGGGUGUAGCCAGUGAGGACCUGCAUUUGGUCCCCAAGAACUUUAUAAGGCCAGGCUGGUGGUGUACAGUUGUGAUCCCAGCACUGGGGACGUGGACAGGUGGCUGUGUGGACAGGUAGAUCUGUGGACAGGUGGGUCUGUGGACAGGUGGACAGCCAGUCCAGCCUGAUGGGUGAGCUCCAGGUCUGGUGAGAUGCCCCAUCUCAAUCAAUCAAUCAAUCAAUCAAUCAAUCAAUCAAUCAAUCAAGAGUGGAUGACUCCGGAAGACUAGCCCUUGAGGCUGACAUGUGCACAUGUACCCAUACAUGUGUGCUACAUAUAUUUCCUAAGCACUAUGCCUCACCAUUCCUCAAAUUCUGCCCUUUCAGAGCUAGUGAUAGCUGCUCGAGGACCUCUGUUUUCCAUGCUUUAAAAUAAGCAUGAUUAUGUCGAUGAAGCCCUGGAGAUUGUGGUAGGAGUGGCAUAAAAAUUACAGACUCAUUGAGGAGAGGCUGGCUCUUCUCAUAAUGUGUCUAUCCAUUUAUUUACAAUUUCUUUGGUUUCUUUCCUUUGUAUUUUCUAAAUGUAAGUAGCCAACCUUGUAUGCACUUUGUUAAGUAUAAACCCAAUGAUUUCAUUUUCUUAAUUGCUGUAGAUAGUAUUUUAAAAACUUCUACUUCCACAGGUCACUGUUAGUAUGAAGUAUAAAUAGCUAGUGUAUAUGUAUAAUUGCAUGUGAGUGGAUAGCUCAUGGCCACAGUCCUAGAAUUCUAGAGGCUGAGGCAGGAACAUUAUGAGUUCAAGGCCAGCCUGGUGAGGUAGCAUCUCAGUAUGAAACAAUAGUAACUGAGGGGUGUGUCUGUCUAUAUGUAUUCCUAUGUGUAUGUGUAUGCAUGUAUGUGUCCCUGUGAUGAGCUUGCAUCCUAUGAUUCUGGUGUUUUAUAUACUUGGGUGCUGAGGUAUUUCUUGUGGGAGCUGAGCCCUUACCUCUCCCCCUGUCUUCUUCUCAUUGCAGCUGUGUGCAGCUGUGUGUCUUCAGGUGAGUGGAUUCCUUGUGGCCACCUUGUUUCUGCUGGGAACUUCCACUGCCUGGUAGACUGUGACAUUGUUUCCAUUUUAAAAAUAAAUUCUCCCCCCCUCCCUUUUUUUUUCUCCUGGAACUAAAAAGGUGCCGUAUUAAUUUGUAUUAGAAUAAACCCUCUGCAUGUCUGUCUGUCAGUUGUCUUCCACCCUGUGUCAUAACACCAGCAUCUUUCAGCACGCCUCCCCCCUCGAACUGGAGACCUCCGACUAGAACCGUUGGUUCUUUAACGCUGAGGAGUCCCUGGGCUCCUUCUCCAGCUCUCUACCUGCUGCUCCUUCUUGGAGUGAUCCUGGACUUGUCUGCCACUCUGCAUGUCAAGUCUCCUAUUCCUAUCUUCGUCAAUCAAUCAAUCAAUCUCUCAAUUGUAUCUCCAGCUUUUUGCUAGCAUGUACUUAAAUGCUUCUUUUAAAAGGUUCAUAGCAAUAUGUUUAUAUGUUGUUUGAAAAUAUAUCUUUGAUCUGUCUUUAUACAUGGAAGCUCUAACUGAGUAUAGACUCUAGGAUGCAAAUUAUUUCCCUUCAGUUUUUUAAGUGACCACCCUUCCAUCUUCUGUCUAGCAUUCCAUGUAGCAAGAUCUCAUUUAAUCUUUAUAGCACCCUGAACAAGAGUGCUUUGACUUCCCAGGACUCUGAAGAGCCAUUCACAGUGAGUGAACUGUCCAGUAGUGUCUGAGCCUCCACAAGAUGCUACAUGGAAGGGCUGGAGUUGGCACGGGGAGAUGGCUUAUAAGGCUGUACAUCCCAGAAGAAGCUCAAUGCCGAGCAGAUACGCUGUAGUGGCGUCUCAGAUUAUAUUCUCAGACUCAUAACUGGGGCAUCUGCAAGGCACACGGCAGAAUGCAAACAUGCUUCAGCUUCCAUCGGUUUUCAGGAAAGAUAUGGUUCUCGGCCUCAAGUCCGCUCUCCUGCCUUCUAUUGAGCAGCACAUACUCCAGAUAGCCAUUAUCCCAGCUGCGGCUAUCAAAGAGAGACAGGGCCAGGAUGACUCUGUGGAGCAAGAAUGAUGCCCAAACCCAACGCUCACCCUGAUAGCCUAGUAGUGGCCAGCAACCCCUGCUAUAAAUGUUUCCAGAACUCUUCUGUUCAUGGUGUCAAUAAAGAAGAUAAACGAUU